CUAGUUGGUGAGGUAACGGCUCACCAAGGCGACGACGGGUAGCUGGUCUGAGAGGAUGGCCAGCCACAUUGGGACUGAGAUACGGCCCAGACUCCUACGGGAGGCAGCAGUGGGGAAUCUUGCGCAAUGGCCUAACGGCUGACGCAGCGACGCCGCGUGAGGGAUGACGCUCUUCGGAGUGUAAACCUCUUUUGCCUGAGACGAAUUGCCAGCUUUAGCUGGUUUGACUGUAUCGGGUGAAUAAGCACCGGCUAACUCCGUGCCAGCAGCCGCGGUAAUACGGGGGGUGCGAGCGUUGUCCGGAAUCACUGGGCGUAAAGGGCGCGUAGGUGGCCUGAUAAGGGUGUGGUGAAAGUCCGGGGCUCAACCCCGGAUCUGCCGUGCCGACUGUCAGGCUAGAGUACUGUAGGGGCAGGCGGAAUUCCGGGUGUAGCGGUGGAAUGCGUAGAGAUCCGGAGGAAGACCGGUGGCGAAGGCGGCCUGCUGGGCAGUUACUGACACUGAGGCGCGACAGCGUGGGGAGCAAACAGGAUUAGAUACCCUGGUAGUCCACGCCGUAAACGAUGGGUACUAGGUGCCUGGGGGAGCGACCCCUUGGGUGCCGGCGCUAACGCAGGAAGUACCCCGCCUGGGGAGUACGGCCGCAAGGCUGAAACUCAAAGGAAUUGACG
rnacentral:rRNA from 1 species